rnacentral:rRNA from 1 species
ACUCAAAUGAAUUGACGGGGGCCCGCACAAGCGGCGGAGCAUGCGGAUUAAUUCGAUGCAACGCGAAGAACCUUACCUGGGUUUGACAUACACCGGAAAGUGCCAGAGAUGGUGCCCCUUUUAGUCGGUGUACAGGUGGUGCAUGGCUGUCGUCAGCUCGUGUCGUGAGAUGUUGGGUUAAGUCCCGCAACGAGCGCAACCCUCGUCCUAUGUUGCCAGCACGUUAUGGUGGGGACUCAUAGGAGACUGCCGGGGUCAACUCGGAGGAAGGUGGGGAUGACGUCAAGUCAUCAUGCCCCUUAUGUCCAGGGCUUCACGCAUGCUACAAUGGCCGGUACAAAGGGCUGCGAUCCCGUGAGGGGGAGCGAAUCCCAAAAAGCCGGUCUCAGUUCGGAUUGGGGUCUGCAACUCGACCCCAUGAAGUCGGAGUCGCUAGUAAUCGCAGAUCAGCAACGCUGCGGUGAAUACGUUCCCGGGCCUUGUACACACCGCCCGU